rnacentral:rRNA from 1 species
UACGUAGGGUGCGAGCGUUAAUCGGAAUUACUGGGCGUAAAGCGUGCGCAGGCGGCUUUGCAAGACAGAUGUGAAAUCCCCGGGCUUAACCUGGGAACUGCAUUUGUGACUGCAUGGCUAGAGUACGGCAGAGGGGGAUGGAAUUCCGCGUGUAGCAGUGAAAUGCGUAGAUAUGCGGAGGAACACCGAUGGCGAAGGCAGUCCCCUGGGCCUGUACUGACGCUCAUGCACGAAAGCGUGGGGGGCAAACAGG